GGGGACCAUCCUCCAAGGCUAAAUACUCGUAAUCGACCGAUAGUGAACCAGUACCGUGAGGGAAAGGCGAAAAGAACCCCGGAAGGGGAGUGAAAUAGAUCCUGAAACCGUGUGCAUACAAACAGUAGGAGCGGACUUGUUCCGUGACUGCGUACCUUUUGUAUAAUGGGUCAGCGACUUACAUUCAGUGGCAAGCUUAACCGUAUAGGGAAGGCGUAGAGAAAUCGAGUCCGAAUAGGGCGUUCAGUCGCUGGGUGUAGACCCGAAACCAAGUGAUCUACUCAUGGCCAGGAUGAAGGUGCGGUAACACGCACUGGAGGUCCGAACCCACUAAUGUUUGAAAAAUUAGGGGAUGAGCUGUGGGUAGGGUGAAAGGCUAAACAAACUUGGAAAUAGCUGGUUCUCUCCGAAAACUAUUUAGGUAGUGCCUCAAGUAUCACCAUCGGGGGUAGAGCACUGUUAUGGCUAGGGGGUCAUUGCGACUUACCAACCCAUUGCAAACUCCGAAUACCGAUGAGUGCGAGCUUGGGAGACAGACGCCGGGUGCUAACGUCCGACGUCAAGAGGGAAACAACCCAGACGCCAGCUAAGGUCCCAAAGAUUGGCUAAGUGGCAAACGAAGUGGGAAGGCUAAAACAGUCAGGAGGUUGGCUUAGAAGCAGCCAUCCUUUAAAGAAAGCGUAAUAGCUCACUGAUCGAGUCGUCCUGCGCGGAAGAUGUAACGGGGCUAAGCCAGUCACCGAAGCUGCGGAUAUCAAUUUAUUGAUAUGGUAGGAGAGCGUUCUGUAAGCCUGCGAAGGUGUCUUGUAAAGGAUGCUGGAGGUAUCAGAAGUGCGAAUGCUGACAUGAGUAGCGAUAAUGGGGGUGAAAAGCCUCCACGCCGUAAGCCCAAGGUUUCCUGUUCAACGUUCAUCGGAGCAGGGUGAGUCGGCCCCUAAGGCGAGGCAGAGAUGCGUAGCUGAUGGGAAGCAGGUUAAUAUUCCUGCACCGUCGUGUGAUGCGAUGGGGGGACGGAUCGCGGAAGGUUGUCCGACUGUUGGAAUAGUCGGUUUUUGGCUCAGAGAAGGCUGUUAGGCAAAUCCGGCAGCGUAAUUCAAGGGGUUGAGACGAGUGAAUUUAUUCACGAAGCAAUCGGAAGUGGUUCCAAGAAAAGCCUCUAAGCUUCAGUCACACGAGACCGUACCGCAAACCGACACAGGUGGGCGAGAUGAGUAUUCUAAGGCGCUUGAGAGAACUCGGGAGAAGGAACUCGGCAAAUUUGUACCGUAACUUCGGGAUAAGGUACGCCCCGGUAGCUUGACUGGCUUGCGCCAGAAGGGUGAAAGGGCUGCAAUAAAAAGGUGGCUGCGACUGUUUAAUAAAAACACAGCACUAUGCAAACACGAAAGUGGACGUAUAUGGUGUGACUCCUGCCCGGUGCUGGAAGAUUAAAUGAUGGGGUGCAAGCUCUUGAUUGAAGUCCCAGUAAACGGCGGCCGUAACUAUAACGGUCCUAAGGUAGCGAAAUUCCUUGUCGGGUAAGUUCCGACCUGCACGAAUGGAGUAACGAUGGCCACACUGUCUCCUCCCGAGACUCAGCGAAGUUGAAAUGUUUGUGAUGAUGCAAUCUACCCGCGGCUAGACGGAAAGACCCCAUGAACCUUUACUGUAGCUUUGCAUUGAAUUUUGAACCAAUCUGUGUAGGAUAGGUGGGAGGCUUUGAAGCGUGAACGCUAGUUUGCGUGGAGCCAACCUUGAAAUACCACCCUGGUUUGUUUGAGAUUCUAACCUUGGUCCGUUAUCCGGAUCGGGGACAGUGCAUGGUAGGCAGUUUGACUGGGGCGGUCUCCUCCCAAAGUGUAACGGAGGAGUUCGAAGGUACGCUAGGUACGGUCGGACAUCGUGCUGGUAGUGCAAUGGCAUAAGCGUGCUUAACUGCGAGACUGACAAGUCGAGCAGGUACGAAAGUAGGACAUAGUGAUCCGGUGGUUCUGUAUGGAAGGGCCAUCGCUCAACGGAUAAAAGGUACUCUGGGGAUAACAGGCUGAUUCCUCCCAAGAGUUCAUAUCGACGGGGGAGUUUGGCACCUCGAUGUCGGCUCAUCACAUCCUGGGGCUGUAGCCGGUCCCAAGGGUAUGGCUGUUCGCCAUUUAAAGUGGUACGUGAGCUGGGUUUAAAACGUCGUGAGACAGUUUGGUCCCUAUCUGCCGUGGGCGUUGGAAAUUUGAAGGGGGCUGCUCCUAGUACGAGAGGACCGGAGUGGACGAACCUCUGGUGUACCGGUUGUCACGCCAGUGGCAUUGCCGGGUAGCUAAGUUCGGAAGAGAUAACCGCUGAAAGCAUCUAAGCGGGAAACUUGCCUUGAGAUGAUAUUUCCCGGGAACUAGAUUCCCCUAAAGGGUCGUUCGAGACCAGGACGUUGAUAGGCUGGGUGUGGAAGCGUAGUAAUACGUUAAGCUAACCAGUACUAAUUGCCCGUGCGGCUUGUCCCUAUAACCUUAGCAGGUUAUAU
rnacentral:rRNA from 1 species